GAUGAAGAACGUAUCGAAAUGCGAUAAGUAGUGUGAAUUGCAGAAUUCAGUGAAUCAUCGAAUCUUUGAACGCACAUUGCGCCCCUCGGUAUUCCGUGGGGCAUGCCUGUUCGAGCGUCAUUUAACCCCUCAAGCCUAGCUUGGUAUUGGGUGCUUGUCCCGCCUCUCGCGCGGCGACUCACCUCAAAGUCAUUGGCAGCCCGCAUCUCGCCGGCCGUGAGCGCAGCACAGACGCGCUCUUGGCAACGACGGAUCGGCUCUCCAAAAGCUUAUUUCAACCACUGACCUCGGAUCAGGUAGGGAUACCCGCUGAACUUAAGCAUAUCAAUAAGCGGAGGA
rnacentral:misc_RNA from 1 species